UACGUAGGUGGCAAGCGUUGUCCGGAUUUAUUGGGUUUAAAGGGUGCGUAGGCGGCUUUGUAAGUCAGUGGUGAAAUAUUUCAGCUUAACUGAGAGGGUGCCAUUGAUACUGUAGAGCUUGAGUACAGAUGAGGUAGGCGGAAUUGACGGUGUAGCGGUGAAAUGCUUAGAUAUCGUCAAGAACACCGAUAGCGAAGGCAGCUUACUAGGCUGUAACUGACGCUGAGGCACGAAAGUGUGGGGAUCAAACAGG
rnacentral:rRNA from 1 species